AUACUGCUGCCUUGGGACCGGGAGAGGCGGAGGGUACCCCUGGGGUAGGGGUGAAAUCCUAUAAUCCCAGGGGGACCGCCAGUGGCGAAAGGCGCUCCCGCUGGAACGGGUCCGACGGUGAGGGACGAAGGCCAGGGGAGCAAACCGGAUUAGAUACCCGGGUAGUCCUGGCUGUAAAGGAUGCGGGCUAGGUGUCGGGUGAGCUUCGAGCUCGCCCGGUGCCGAAGGGAAGCCGUUAAGCCCGCCGCCUGGGGAGUACGGCCGCAAGGCUGAAACUUAAAGGAAUUGGCGGGGGAGCACUACAAGGGGUGGAGCGUGCGGUUUAAUUGGAUUCAACGCCGGGAACCUCACNNNNNNNNACGGCAGGAUGAAGGCCAGGCUGAAGGUCUUGCCGGACACGCCGAGAGGAGGUGCAUGGCCGCCGUCAGCUCGUACCGUGAGGCGUCCACUUAAGUGUGGUAACGAGCGAGACCCGCGCCCCCAGUUGCCAGUCCUCCCCGCUGGGGAGGAGGCACUCUGGGGGGACCGCCGGCGAUAAGCCGGAGGAAGGAGCGGGCGACGGUAGGUCAGUAUGCCCCGAAACCCCCGGGCUACACGCGCGCUACAAUGGGCGGGACAAUGGGAACCGACCCCGAAAGGGGUAGGGAAUCCCCUAAACCCGCCCCCAGUUCGGAUUGCGGUCUCAACUCGCCCGCAUGAAGCUGGAAUCCCUAGUACCCGCGUGUCAU
rnacentral:rRNA from 1 species